CAUGCCUACAAGAUUGUGUUCAAUCAAGCAACAGCUGUGACUCGGUCCAAUUUCACCAAUGAUGAGUUGUAUCUUAAUUUGGUUGAUUUCCAGACAGUUUUGAAUGGAACACUUGAUGAAAAUCUACUAAUUGAUGUGCUGGGGCAAGUUUUGGAUUGUGGUGAUGUCGAAACCAUUCUUUGUUCUGGGGGGAACCAGCGUAAAAAACUAGAAUUCAUCCUAAGAGACAUGAAUGAUGUGAGGCUACCUUGCUGCAUUUGGGGCAAAUUAACCGACAUUCUUCAUUCUGCCUGCAAUGAAGACGAUGGAAUGGUUACUUUGCUUUUGAGGUUUGCAAAAAUUGGAAAGUUUAGAGGUACAUAUCUGAACUCCUAUCGAUUUCAUUCUUAAUAGUAUAGAUAUGAAUAUAAAUACUAAACAACACUGUCUACUUCCUACACUACUAAAUGGUAUCGGCAACAGGAGAACUACAAAUCUCUAACUCCUAUGAUGCUUCUCAAAUGAUCAUCAACCCUACGAUACCAGAUGCAGACGCAUUUAAAGAUAUGUAAGUGCAUAAGCUAUUGUUUAUUUAUGGUAGUUCUUUGUCUUGCAUACUAACUUCAAAAUUUUUUGGACUAUAAGGGACACUGGAGAUGAGAAAAGUCUAAUGCUCAUUGAAAGUAAGGAGGAGGGUAGCAACCAAGGGCAGCGUGAUAAGUGGUUGCAAUAC